UCGCGGCUUAUCACCGGCAGUCCCCUUAGAGUGCCCAACUGAAUGAUGGCAACUAAGGGCGAGGGUUGCGCUCGUUGCGGGACUUAACCCAACAUGUCACCACACGAGCUGACGACAGCCAUGCAGCACCUGUCAUCCUGCUGUAUUGCUACAGAAGUCCUAUCUCUAGGAUUGUCAGGAGAUGUCAAAUCCAGGUAAGGUUCUUCGCGUUGCUUCGAAUUAAACCACAUGAUCCACCGCUUGUGCGGGCCCCCGUCAAUUCCUUUGAGUUUUAGCCUUGCGGCCGUACUCCCCAGGCGGGGCACUUAAUGCGUUAGCUACGGCACCGCAGGGGUCGAUACCCGCGACACCUAGUGCCCAUCGUUUACGGCGUGGACUAC
rnacentral:misc_RNA from 1 species